AGAGUUUGAUCCUGGCUCAGGACGAACGCUGGCGGCGCGCCUAGCACAUGCAAGUCGAACGAGAGAGAGGGAGCUUGCUUCCUCAAUCGAGUGGCGAACGGGUGAGUAACGCGUGAGGAACCUGCCUCAAAGAGGGGGACAACAGUUGGAAACGACUGCUAAUACCGCAUAAGCCCACAGGUCGGCAUCGACCAGAGGGAAAAGGAGCAAUCCGCUUUGAGAUGGCCUCGCGUCCGAUUAGCUAGUUGGUGAGGUAACGGCCCACCAAGGCAACGAUCGGUAGCCGGACUGAGAGGUUGAACGGCCACAUUGGGACUGAGACACGGCCCAGACUCCUACGGGAGGCAGCAGUGGGGAAUAUUGCACAAUGGGGGAAACCCUGAUGCAGCGACGCCGCGUGGAGGAAGAAGGUCUUCGGAUUGUAAACUCCUGUUGUUGAGGAAGAUAAUGACGGUACUCAACAAGGAAGUGACGGCUAACUACGUGCCAGCAGCCGCGGUAAAACGUAGGUCACAAGCGUUGUCCGGAAUUACUGGGUGUAAAGGGAGCGCAGGCGGGAAGACAAGUUGGAAGUGAAAUCUAUGGGCUCAACCCAUAAACUGCUUUCAAAACUGUUUUUCUUGAGUAGUGCAGAGGUAGGCGGAAUUCCCGGUGUAGCGGUGGAAUGCGUAGAUAUCGGGAGGAACACCAGUGGCGAAGGCUGCCUACUGGGCACCAACUGACGCUGAGGCUCGAAAGUGUGGGUAGCAAACAGGAUUAGAUACCCUGGUAGUCCACACCGUAAACGAUGAUUACUAGGUGUUGGAGGAUUGACCCCUUCAGUGCCGCAGUUAACACAAUAAGUAAUCCACCUGGGGAGUACGACCGCAUG
rnacentral:rRNA from 1 species